GUGAACGCUUGCGGUAGGCCUAACACAUGCAAGUCGAACGGCAGCACAGUAAGAGCUUGCUCUUACGGGUGGCGAGUGGCGGACGGGUGAGGAAUACAUCGGAAUCUACUUUUUCGUGGGGGAUAACGUAGGGAAACUUACGCUAAUACCGCAUACUACCUACGGGUGAAAGCAGUGGAUCUUCGUACCUUGCGCGAUUGAAUGAGCCGAUGUCGGAUUAGCUAGUUGGCGGGGUAAAGGCCCACCAAGGCGACGAUCCGUAGCUGGUCUGAGAGGAUGAUCAGCCACACUGGAACUGAGACACGGACAAGACUACUACGGGAGGCAGCAGUGGGGAAUAUUGGACAAUGGGCGCAAGCCUGAUCCAGCCAUACCGAGUGGGUGACGAAGGCCUUCGGGUUGUAAAGCCCUUUUGUUGGGAAAGAAAAGCAGCAGGUUAAUACCCCGCUGUUCUGACGGUACCCAAAGAAUAAGCACCGGCUAACUUCGUG
rnacentral:rRNA from 1 species